rnacentral:rRNA from 1 species
UUCGCCCUUAGAGUUUGAUCCUGGCUCAGGACGAACGCUGGCGGCAUGCCUAACACAUGCAAGUCGAACGGAAGUAGCAAUACUUUAGUGGCGAACGGGUGAGUAACACGUGAGCAACCUGCCCUGUACUACGGGAUAACUCCGAGAAAUUGGAGAUAAUACGGUAUAUGACCACACUGCGGCAUCGCAGAGGGGUGAAAGCAAUAUAGUAGCGGUACAGGAUGGGCUCGCGUCCAAUUAGCUUGUUGGCGGGGUAAUGGCCCACCAAGGCGACGAUUGGUAGCCGACUUGAGAGAGUGAUCGGCCACACUGGAACUGAGACACGGUCCAGACUCCUACGGGAGGCAGCAGUGGGGAAUAUUGGGCAAUGGAGGCAACUCUUACCCAGCAAUGCCGCGUGAAUGAUGAAGGUCUUUUGAUUGUGAAAUUCAACAAACAGGGACGAAUAAAAUGACGGUACCUGAUUGGAAGCCCCGGCUAACUACGUGCCAGCAGCAGCGGUAAUACGUAGGGGGCGAGCGUUGUCCGGAAUGACUGGGCGUAAAGGGUGCGUAGGUGGUCUUAUAAGUUGGAAGUGUAAUACCCAGAGCUUAACUCGGGUGCUGCUUCCAAGACUGUAGGGCUUGAGUGCAGGAGGGGAAAGUGGAAUUCCUAGUGUAGCGGUGGAAUGCGUAGAUAUUAGGAGGAACACCAGUGGCGAAGGCGGCUUUCUGGACUGUAACUGACACUGAGGCACGAAAGCGUGGGGAGCAAACAGGAUUAGAUACCCUGGUAGUCCACGCCGUAAACGAUGGAUACUAGUUGUUGGGGGUCUCGACCCCUCAGCGACGUCGCUAACGCAAUAAGUAUCCCGCCUGGGGAGUACGGCCGCAAGGUUGAAACUCAAAGGAAUUGACGGGGGCCCGCACAAGCAGCGGAGCAUGUGGUUUAAUUCGAUGCAACGCGAAGAACCUUACCAAGACUUGACAUCGUAUGAUCACUGUAGAAAUAUGGUUUCCCCUCGGGGCAUAUAGACAGGUGGUGCAUGGUUGCCGUCAGCUCGUGUCGUGAGAUGUUGGGUUAAGUCCCGCAACGAGCGCAACCCUUAUUUCUAGUUGCCAAUAUUUAGUUAGGAACUCUAGAGAGACUGCCGUGGAUAACACGGAGGAAGGUGGGGAUGACGUCGAAUCAUCAUGCCCCUUACGUCUUGGGCUACACACGUGCUACAAUGGCUAUUACAAAGAGCUGCGAGCUGGUAACAGUAAGCGAAUCUCAUAAAGAUAGUCUCAGUUCGGAUUGUGGGCUGCAACCCGCCCACAUGAAGUAGGAGUUGCUAGUAAUCCCGAAUCAGAAUGUCGGGGUGAAUGAAGUCCCGGGCCUUGUACACACCGCCCGUCA